GGCGCGGUAGCCAAGUGGAAAGGCAGGAGUCUGCAAAACUCCUACGCGUCGGUUCGAUUCCGACCCGCGCCUCCA
rnacentral:tRNA from 3 species